rnacentral:rRNA from 1 species
GAUGAACGCUGGCGGCGUGCCUAAUACAUGCAAGUCGAGCGAACAGAUGAGGAGCUUGCUCCUCUGACGUUAGCGGCGGACGGGUGAGUAACACGUGGAUAACCUACCUAUAAGACUGGGAUAACUUCGGGAAACCGGAGCUAAUACCGGAUAAUAUAUUGAACCGCAUGGUUCAAUAGUGAAAGACGGUUUUGCUGUCACUUAUAGAUGGAUCCGCGCCGCAUUAGCUAGUUGGUAAGGUAACGGCUUACCAAGGCAACGAUGCGUAGCCGACCUGAGAGGGAGGACGGACAGAUUGGAGAUGCACCACGGUGGGGACAACGCGGGGGGGACGAAGUGGGGAGUAGUGAGGAAUGGCCGAAGGCCUGACGGAGCAACGCCGCGGGAGUAAUGAAGGUAUAAGGAUCGGAGAACUCUGUGAUGAGGGAAGAACAAAAGGGUAAGUGCAUAUGCACGUCUGGAGGCUACCUAAUCAGAAAGCCACGGCUAACUUCGUC